UACGUAGGGCGCAAGCGUUGUCCGGAAUUAUUGGGCGUAAAGAGCUCGUAGGCGGUUUGUCGCGUCUGCUGUGAAAACCUAAGGCUCAACCUUGGGCUUGCAGUGGGUACGGGCAGACUAGAGUGCGGUAGGGGUGACUGGAAUUCCUGGUGUAGCGGUGGAAUGCGCAGAUAUCAGGAGGAACACCGAUGGUGAAGGCAGGUCACUGGGCCGCAACUGACGCUGAGGAGCGAAAGCAUGGGGAGCGAACAGG
rnacentral:rRNA from 1 species